rnacentral:rRNA from 1 species
GAUGAACGCUAGCGACAGGCUUAACACAUGCAAGUCGAGGGGUAACAGGGGAGCUUGCUCCCGCUGACGACCGGCGCACGGGUGCGUAACGCGUAUACAACCUGCCUCAAAGCGAGGGAUAACCCAGAGAAGUUUGGACUAAUACCUCAUAGUAUAUAUUAGAGGCAUCUUUGAUAUAUUAAAGAUUUAUUGCUUUGAGAUGGGUAUGCGUAUGAUUAGCUAGUUGGUAAGGUAACGGCUUACCAAGGCUACGAUCAUUAGGGGUUCUGAGAGGAAGGUCCCCCACACUGGUACUGAGACACGGACCAGACUCCUACGGGAGGCAGCAGUGAGGAAUAUUGGUCAAUGGGCGAGAGCCUGAACCAGCCAAGUCGCGUGAAGGAAGACGGUCCUAUGGAUUGUAAACUUCUUUUGUACAGGAGUAAAGUGAGUUACGAGUAACUUUUUGCAGGUACUGUACGAAUAAGCAUCGGCUAACUCCGUGCCAGCAGCCGCGGUAAUACGGAGGAUGCGAGCGUUAUCCGGAUUUAUUGGGUUUAAAGGGUGCGCAGGCGGUAUUACAAGUCAGAGGUGAAAUCUUGGUGCUUAACAUUAAAAUUGCCUUUGAAACUGUAGUACUUGAGUGUAAAAGAGGUAGGCGGAAUGUGUUGUGUAGCGGUGAAAUGCUUAGAUAUAACACAGAACACCGAUUGCGAAGGCAGCUUACUAUAAUACAACUGACGCUCAUGCACGAAAGCGUGGGGAUCAAACAGG